CCCUUAGAUGUUCUGGGCCGCACGCGCGCUACACUGACGAAGUCAGCGAGCAUGUCCUACGCCGACAGGUGCGGGGAAUCUUGUCAAACUUCGUCGUGAUGGGGAUUGAUUAUUGAAAUUCUUGAUCAUCAACGAGGAAUUCCUAGUAAGCGCAAGUCAGCAGCUUGCGUUGAUUACGUCCCUGCCCUUUGUACACACCGCCCGUCGCUACUACCGAUUGAAUGGUUUAGUGAGAUCUUCGGAUUGGCGCCACUGCGGCUCAGCAAUGGGCUCGGUGGAUGCCGAAAAGUUGAUCAAACUUGAUCAUUUAGAGGAGGUAAAAGUCGUAACA
rnacentral:rRNA from 1 species